rnacentral:lncRNA from 10 species
AAAAUAAAAUAUUUCUGAGGUCUAAACAGAAGACCAUAUAAUCCCAUAGUAGAUUUGAUCUUUGCUCUGAGGGUCUUUUUAGAUUUGAGAAUUUUGGAAAGAUUGGGAAUAAGAAACAGAUAUUUUUAACCCAAGAAUUUCUGGCUACUUGAUAUUUUCUAUAAACUUUAAAAUGGAAAAAAAAAUGUUCAGUAGAAUUCACUUAUGAAACUAUCUGGACCUAGGGGUUUCUUAUGUUGGAAGGAUUUUACCUAUCAAUAUAAUGUGGUUAAUAAAUAUAGGGCUAAUUAGGUUAUCGAUUGCUUCCUUAGUGAGCUAGUUUUUGUCUGACAAGGAAUUUUUCCAUUUCAUCUAAGCUAUCAAACCUGUUAAAACCUGUUACAUGAAAUUAUUCCUGAUAUUCUUUUUUUUUUUUUUUUGAGAUGGAGUUUCGCUCUUGUAACCAGGCUGGAGUGCAAUGACACGAUCUCAGCUCACUGCAGUUUUCGUCUUCUGGGUUCAAGCAAUUCUCCUUCCUCAGCCCCCUAAGUAGCUGGUGGUGCCCACCACCAUGCCCAGAGGCAGAAUCACACUAUGUUGCCCAGGCUGUUCCUGUAAUGACCUCAAGUGAGCCUCCCAUCUUGUCCUCCCGAAGUGUUGAGAUUACAGGAAUGAGCUAACAUUGCCUGGCCCAAUCUUGUUUUUCUAGUUUUAAUUUAUUUCUGCUCAUUGUUAUUUUUCAUUCUUCUGCUUAUUUUGUAUUGAAUUUUCUCUUCUUUGUCUAGUUUUGUAAGGUGAAAGUUUAGAUCAUUGAUUUGAGACUUUUCUUUUUAUCAAUUAUAAGCAUUUAAUGUUCUAAAGUUCCUUAUAAGUACAUCUGUAUACCACAAAUUGGUAAGUCGUAUUUUCCGUUUCAUUUGGUUAAAUAUUUUUAACUUUCCAUUGAGGUUUCUUCUUAGAAGAAACACUUCUUAGAAGUGUUUUGUUCAAUUUACAAAUAUGUGGUGGUUUGCCAAAUUGUUUUUUGUUAUUGAUUUGUAAUUUAAUUCAGUUGUAGUUAGAGAACGUGUUUGGUAUGAUUUCAAUCCAUUUAAAUACACUGCUUGCUUGUUUUAUAGCUCAGAAUACGUUCUAUCUUGGUGACUGAUCCAUGUACACUUACCAAAAACGUGUGUCCUGCUGUUUUUGAAAGCAGUAUUCUCCGAAGUCAGUUAGGUCAGAUUGGUUAACUGUGUUUUUCAAGUGUUUUAUAUCCUUACUAAUUUUGGUCUUGUUCAGUAAAUUACUGAAAGACAAGUGUUUUAAUCUCCAACUCUAAUUGUGGACUUAUAUAUUUAUCCUUUCAGUUCUAUGUAUUUUGAAGCUUGGUUAUUAGGUGCAUAUACAUUUAGGAUAAAGUCCUCUUGAUUAACUGAUUUUAUAUAUAUAUAAUUACAUAUAUAUCUAAAAACUGAUUAUAUAUCUUAUAUAUAAUUAUAUAUAGUAUAUAAUCCGUUAAUAGAUAUUAUAUAUAAUUAUAUAUAAUCAGUUUAUAUAUAUAAUCAAUGUGUGUGUAUAUAUGUGUGUGUGUGUGUGUGUGUGUAUACACACACACAUAUGUGAGUGUGCGUGAGAGAGAGAGAGAGAGGGAGACGGGGCCUUGUUAUGUUGCUCCGGCUGGUCUCAAACCCCUGGGCCCAAGCGAUCCUCCCACCUCAACCUCCCAAGUAGCUGAGACUAUGGACAUAUGCCACUGCACCCAGCUAAUCUUUAUAUUAUUGUAAAUAUCCUUUAUUCUUGGGAAAUAUUCCCUGUUCUGAACUCUACUUUGUCUGGUAGCCACUCCAGAAUUCUUUUGAUUUAGGCUUGCAGAAAAUAUUUUUCCCAUAUUUUGACUUUUAUACUAUAGGUAUCUUUCUGUUUAAAAUUGUGUGUGUGUGGUGGCGGGAUAAAAUCUGAUAAAUGCAUUUAUGUAGUAAGAUGAUACAAAAGAGUGUUAUUCAUGAGAUAGUCAAAGACUCUCAAGUGAAAUAACACUGUAGCUGGAUUUUAAAGGAUGAGUAGGAACAAAGUGAAGGUGAAGAAGGAGGGUAUUUCUAGCAAAGGGCAGCAUUUGCACGGCAUGAAAGUACUUGCCAUCUUCUUGAAAAAGUGGAAGAAUUCCUUCGUCUGGAUCAUCCACCCCAGGUGUGUUUCAGGGAGGAAGGGAUAGGAGGACUCAGAGAUAACUCCUAUAACAAGGGUCAGGAAACUUUUUCUUAAAUGUUCAGAUUGUAAUAUUUUAAGCUUGCAGAUCAUACAAUUUCACAAUUAUGCAGCUUUGCUAUUGUACCAUGAAAGCAGCCAUAGAUAAUAUGUAAACAAAUGAGUGUGGCUGAGUUCCAAUAAAACUUUAUUUACAAAAACAGGUGGCAGUCUGAAUUUGGCCCAUG